CCCUCCUACAAAGGCGUGGUGGUGGUUUCCUGUCCUUGGACACAAAGGCCUGUGGCUUGGAGGAGCCUAGAGCGAGCUGGCUCCCCACAGGCUCCAGAUCACCCUGUCCACACAG
rnacentral:snoRNA from 1 species